rnacentral:rRNA from 1 species
AACGAACGCUGGCGGCGUGGAUAAGACAUGCAAGUCGAACGAGGUUACUUUUGGUAGCAAUACUAGAAGUAACUUAGUGGCGAACGGGUGCGUAACACGUGGGCAAUCUGCCUUAAAGUGGGGGGAUAGCUCGGCGAAAGCCGAAUUAAUACCGCAUAUGAUCAGCUAAGACAUCUUAGCGACAUCAAAGCCGGGGCAACCUGGCGCUUUUAGAGGAGCCCGCGGCCUAUCAGCUGUUGGUGAGGUAAUGGCUCACCAAGGCUUUGACGGGUAGCUGGUCUGAGAGGACGACCAGUCACACUGGAACUGAGACACGGUCCAGACACCUACGGGUGGCAGCAGUCGAGAAUUUUUCUCAAUGGGGGCAACCCUGAAGGAGCGACGCCGCGUGGAGGAUGAAGGCUUUCGGGUUGUAAACUCCUGUCAUUUGAGAACAAGUGCCGGCAAGUAACUACUGCCGGCUUGAUAGUAUCAGAAGAGGAAGAGACGGCUAACUCUGUGCC